GACGAGGGGUCCUAGCGUUGUUCGGAAUUACUGGGCAUAAAGCGGAUGUAGGUGGAUGUUCAAGUCAGAUGUGAAAUCCCAGAGCUUAACUCUGGAACUGCAUUUGAUACUGUUCAUCUUGAGCAUUUGAGAGGGUAGCAGAAUUCCUGAUGUAGUGGUGAAAUACGUAGAUAUCGGGAGGAAUAUCGGAGGCGAAGGCGGCUACCUGGCGAAUUGCUGACACUGAGAUCCGAAAGCGUGGGGAGCAAACAGG
rnacentral:rRNA from 1 species